GGCAGAUGCCCAGUGAGGGGCAGGCGGGUGAACAUGUGCGUAUAUGGGUGGUGGGUGGUGGAUGAGUGGGGAUAGGCGGACAACAGACAGGCAUAUGCAGGGGCUCCCAGGACUAGCAGAAGACGAGGGAUGUGCUGCCUAAAACCCCAAGAGCACAUAGAUCUCACAGAGAAGCCUCCUGAGGACGGCUAGUGACUGCUGCUGCUACCUGCCGCCCCGUCUCCACCAACCAGAAGACCAGGACGCACCACGGCAGGAAGCGCCUGCCCCAUGGCUGGAACCUUCCUCCCAGAGAGGAGGCUGAUGAUGGUGAGAGCACCUUACAGUGUGGCAGGAGAGGGAGCUGCUCACACCCCCCUGGUAGUGGCACUGCCCUCUGGGGAUGCCCCGCCGCGCCCUCCCAGGGAGGCACAGAUGGCCCUGCUCUGCAGAGCCAUGAAUCAUGCCUGGUGACGGGCGGCACACAAACAGGAGUGAAGUCAGCAAACUGGAGUGAGAGUGGGGGUGCUGUAGGGCACAGUGACAGAGCCUGGCGUGGCCUCCCAGCGUCUCCUGGGGGGUCUGGAUCGGCUGCGGGAGCACACACCACAAUGGAUGGCACCAUCACAGACCACACUUCUCACUCCAACGUGUGAAGUAAAUAUGUUGGAAAUAACCACAUCACGGGAGAGUCCACUCAGCCUCUCAGCCACAGGUGGAGAACACCCCAGGGGCAAGGGGUGGAGCACCAGCCCUCCCAGCACCCCAGGACACAGCUGAGAGGUGAGCCAGAUGUCCCCACCAGCCCAGUGGCAGGCCCAGGACCGGGCUCAGCCUCCCUCCCACUUGAUCCGGAAGCCACCCCUGGCCUCUGACCAGGUCUGACUCUCUGGGCACAGGAGAUAGCCCUGGAGCAUCGGCACACAGGGCCGUCAUGAGGGACCCUCCACACCACACACCACACCUCACCAGAGGAACCUCCGGAGCCUCCAAAGACACCAUGAACCUGUGUGAACCCCUGGGUCUGAGUCAUUCACUGCCAGAGUGCUCCACCAUCACUCCAGGGCAGUCACACCUGGGGUUACGAAUGAUGGCCCAAACAAAGGUCUGUGUUUUCUUCCUCUCAGGAAAAAGACAUGAAGCAAUGGCCAAAUUCCUCCCUCUUGGUCCUCCCCGGGCCCUUGCCAGCCCGCUGCCUCUGAUCCUGGCUCUGCUGCGUUCCUGGAUUGUCACAGAAACCUGGAAGACUCGUCCCUCUUUGCCUAAGCAGAGCCAGAGUCAGGCAGCCAUGGGGGCAGCUGGUGGCGUCCGUGGGGAAACAGAUUGCUCUCUGCUCCCCGCUAACGGAGACCGAGGCUGCAGGGCUAACACAGACAGGGGCCCUAGGAUGCACAAAGGACCCCAAGAAGCCAGCACCCAGGACCUCUUGUGCAAGGAAACCAGGGCGAUGGGAGAGGCAGGCCUGGGGCGUGGGG
rnacentral:lncRNA from 1 species